AUCCUGGGGCUGUAGUCGGUCCCAAGGGUAUGGCUGUUCGCCAUUUAAAGUGGUACGCGAGUUGGGUUCAGAACGUCGUGAGACAGUUCGGUCCCUAUCUGCCGUGGGCGUUGGAAAUUUGAGAGGAGCUGCUUCUAGUACGAGAGGACCGAAGUGGACGUAUCUCUGGUGUUCCGGUUGUCAUGCCAAUGGCAUAGCCGGGUAGCUACAUACGGACGGGAUAACCGCUGAAAGCAUCUAAGCGGGAAGCCUUCCUCAAGAUAAGAUUUCCCUAGGGGUUUAACCCCUCUGAAGGUCCGUCGAAGACUACGACGUUGAUAGGUUGGGUGUGUAAGUGCAGUAAUGCAUUGAGCUUACCAAUACUAAUUGACCGUGAGGCUUGACCAUAUAAUAG
rnacentral:rRNA from 1 species